rnacentral:misc_RNA from 1 species
GUAAAGGCUCCUUUUUCAUAAUAAUUUAUUUUGUACAACUGUUCUAUUUUGCACGGAUACACUUUGGUUGUCGAUUUUGGUGGGACACAUACGAGACUCACAAUGAUCAAUGGUCAAAAUACAACCAUUGUACAUAUGACGGUUGUAUUUUAAAAUUUUCUGUUUUCAUAUAUAGCUCAGAGUUGAGGUUGCUAAGAAGUUUUAAUUUUUCUCCUUCAUUGUUGAGAUUGCUGCAAAGUAUUCAUUUUUUUGUGCUUCAAGGGCUUAAUUUUUUUCAUCCAUAUCCCAG